rnacentral:rRNA from 1 species
AGCAGUCGCCGCGGUAAUACGGAGGAUCCAAGCGUUAUCCGGAAUCAUUGGGUUUAAAGGGUCCGUAGGCGGUCUUGUAAGUCAGUGGUGAAAGCCCAUCGCUCAACGGUGGAACGGCCAUUGAUACUGCAGGACUUGAAUUAUUGGGAAGUAACUAGAAUAUGUAGUGUAGCGGUGAAAUGCUUAGAGAUUACAUGGAAUACCAAUUGCGAAGGCAGGUUACUACCAAUUGAUUGACGCUGAUGGACGAAAGCGUGGGUAGCGAACAGGAUUAGAUACCCGUGUAGUCCCUGUCUCUUAUAC